GUCCACGCCGUAAACGAUGGGCACUAGGCGUCGGGGGAGCGACCCUCCCGGUGCCGUCGCUAACGCAAUAAGUGCCCCGCCUGGGGAGUACGGCCGCAAGGUUGAAACUCAAAGGAAUUGACGGGGGCCCGCACAAGCGGUGGAGCAUGUGGUUUAAUUCGAUGCAACGCGAAGAACCUUACCUGGGCCUUGACAUGCACGUGAAAGCUGGUGGAAACACCGGUCCUCCUUCGGGACGCGUGCACAGGUGCUGCAUGGCUGUCGU
rnacentral:rRNA from 1 species